GUGAAUGUUUGGCAAACUUUUUGAAAAAAAGGACGCAAAGCUAUGGGUCUAAAGAUUAUUUGAGCUAUGAUUGCCAGGCUGCUUUG
rnacentral:ncRNA from 1 species